AUGGGCCGCGCUUCCACCGACCACUCCACCUCCGGCCAGGACGCGCCGCCCCAGCGGCCGCGUCGCGGCGGCCGCCUCCGACUUCGGCGCCGCCGCCGCCGCCGCCGCUCCCCCACGCCAACCUCCGACGACCCAAGUGCAAGCUCCCAAGAACGCACCCCUUCGUUCUCCGAGGCAUCAGUGUCCGCGCCACCCUCUUACAUCCCUUCCCCGGACAUCCCUGCCGGCACCUACGUCGCCGUCGCCCCUCUCCCCGUCUUCCGCGGCGACCCUGGCGAGUGCCCCGACGCCCACCUCGCCCGCUUCGACCGCGUCUGCCGCGCCAACAACGCCACGUCCACGGCCGACGCCGCCCGUAUCUUCCCGGCCUCCCUCGACGCCGAUGCCGCGCUGUGGUACGAGCUCGCGGCCCCCGCUUCCUCGCCUCCGCCGUGGCACGCCGUCCGCGCGGCCUUCGUCGACUUCUUCCGCCCUCCAGGCGCCGCCAACCGCGCGCGCGCCGAACUCAUGGCGCUGAGGCAGCGCCCCGGCGAGGCUGUCAACAGGUACCACCUCCGCAUGCAGGGGAUCCUCCGGCGGUUCCCGGACGCCAGCACGGACAUCCCCGACGCGUUCCUCACGUCCGCGUUCGUCCACGGCCUACGCGCCGAGUUCCAGGACUGGGUGGCGCCGCAGCGUCCGGAGGCGCUGGACGAGGCCGUGGCGCUGGCACUGAGCUGGGAGCGCGCCGAGGGCUUGCGGGAGGCGCGGCGCGCGGCGAAGGCGUCGGUGGCCGGCAACGGUGGCGUCAGGUGCGGCUUCUGCGGCGCGGAAGGGCACGAGGAGCCGGGCUGCGAGGUGAGGAAGAGAAUGAUGGAGUUGUGGCUGAGGAGCAGUAGCGGUGGGAGGGGAAGCACCAUGCUGGGGACGAUGGGGGAGGAGGCCGAGGAGGGAGGCGGGAGCGCGAGGCUCGGGCGGCUCAGGAGCGCGGUGAGCGCGCGCUCGGCGCGGUGCCAGUGCCGCAAGCAUCAGUGCGGGAAAAAGGCCGCGCCGGCGAGCGAGGUCGCUGGAGGCGGCGAAGGGAAUGGCGCGGCCGCGGACAAGUGA
rnacentral:rRNA from 1 species